rnacentral:rRNA from 1 species
UGGGGUAUAUUGGACAAUGGGCGAAAGCCUGAUCCAGCCAUGCCGCGUGUGUGAAGAAGGUCUUCGGAUUGUAAAGCACUUUAAGUUGGGAGGAAGGGCAGUAAGCGAAUACCUUGCUGUUUUGACGUUACCGACAGAAUAAGCACCGGCUAACUCUGUGCCAGCAGCCGCGGUAAUACAGAGGGUGCAAGCGUUAAUCGGAAUUACUGGGCGUAAAGCGCGCGUAGGUGGUUCGUUAAGUUGAAUGUGAAAGCCCCGGGCUCAACCUGGGAACUGCAUCCAAAACUGGCGAGCUAGAGUAGGGCAGAGGGUGGUGGAAUUUCCUGUGUAGCGGUGAAAUGCGUAGAUAUAGGAAGGAACACCAGUGGCGAAGGCGACCACCUGGGCUCAUACUGACACUGAGGUGCGAAAGCGUGGGGAGCAAACAGG